UCAGGUGGCCGCAGAGAAUAGGCCCAAGCGACUGUUUACCAAAAACAUAGGUUUCUGCUAAGUCGCAAGACGAUGUAUAGGAGCUGACGCCUGCCCGGUGCUGGAAGGUUAAGGGGAUCUGUUAGAGCAAUCGAAGCAGUGAACUUAAGCCCCAGUAAACGGCGGCCGUAACUAUAACGGUCCUAAGGUAGCGAAAUUCCUUGUCGGGUAAGUUCCGACCCGCACGAAAGGCGUAACGAUUUGGGCACUGUCGCAACAACAGACUCGGUGAAAUUGUAAUUCCGGUGAAGAUGCCGGAUACCUGCGACAGGACGGAAAGACCCCAUGGAGCUUUACUGUAGCUUGACCUUGGGUCUUGGUACUACCGGUCAAGGUGAGGUGGGGGGCCUUGCGACCCGGACGCCAGGUUCGGCGGAGCCGUCGGGGGG
rnacentral:rRNA from 1 species